CUCUUGUGGUGCUUCUGUUCUUUCCCACAUGUUCUUUCAUAUUGGCUGACUCUUUUCACAUGAUUUGGAUGCUUGUCACUUCAAGUCCACACUAAAAAAAUUAUAUCUAUGUUCCUUUCGUUAUGAAUACUUUGGUAUGGCCAGUCAGCAUGUUGAUGAGAAGCACUGAAUGUGGUAAAAAGGUCCAUUUUCUAACAAGAACAAAAAAAAUGUGUCUAGUUUCUAAUGACAGCAUUUAUCCUAUCUCAAAAA